CCAGACUUGUGGAGGUCUACAAUCAUUUUUUCUGAGGUCUUGGCUGAUUUAUUUUGGUUUUCCCAUGAUGUCAAGCAAAGAAGAAAACAGCGUGUCAGAAGACUGGACAAGAUGGACAGACUGACAUUUCCCUGUUGAUGGAACACUGAGCACAGAACAACUGGAGUCUGUGAGGCCAAUUUGAAAGUAAAGAAAGAAAACAAGAACAUUUAAGUGAAGUGGGACAAUUUCAGAGAGUGGGAGGGAGAAGCAGAAAAAUGCAAAAGAUAAAGCUGUAAGAAGAUUGAUGGUAAAGCAAGUAGAACCGGAGAAGAAAGAGGAAGAAGAAGCCUGACUGGCCUUUCUGAGAGGGGAACCCAUUCAUGGGGCUCCCCUUGUAUCUGCCACUGCCAAAUUCUCCACCAGCAGACCUGAGAUGGUGGCUUCCCACCCCCUCAUAACCCAUUUGGGGUUGGGCCUGUGCCAGGUGGAGGAGCCGUGGAGGAGCCAUGGGACAACAACGAAGGAAAAGCAGAAAAGACCAGCAGAAGGAUAGAAAGAAAACCUCCUCAAGAAGCUUGAGGGAAUGUUUCCAAUAAUACGCUACCCCAACCCCAAUGGAGGUGGGAUAUUGGAAAUGGAGAGAACGUGGGAUGUUGACAAAAUAAAAGCAAUAGUGGGUGAUGUCAUUGACCCAGCAAAAGAUGCUGUGAGGUUUCAGGAAGAGGUAAAAGCAAUCAUCUCCAUGUACAACCCCACCACCAGAGGAAUUGAAGAGAUACUUCGCCGCUGCUUGACAUUUAAAUGGAAUGACUAUAAACAUGUGGGACCGCGAUGUACUAGUGGCUGAUCGCGGUGACCAGUUGGUUGCAGUUUUUACCGCUAUAAAGGUUGGGGGGGGGAAACGCACAGACUGGCAGAAAAUCCAUUCCACCAAACAGGGAACUGAUGAAAAAAUGAGUGACUACAUGGAAAGAAUGGAGACAGUCUUCCUCCAACAUUUAGGCCUGACCAAGACUCCUACAGCAGCCUAUUGUGUCAUGCUGUGGUGACAGGCCUGACACAAGAUCUGAAAACAGCUGUAACUCCAACUUGUAUUGCAUGGGGGAAAAACCCACUGUCUGGCAUAAAGCCAUCUAUAACCUAUUCAGAAAGACAAUUGAAGGAAAAUGAAACUAAGGACAGAAAUACACUGAAGAAGGGACAGCUGAUGUGCUACUCUGGAGGAGGAAAAGGACAUAGAGAAAAUGGUGGCAACCAUGGAAACCUAAGAGGUAGUGGAAGAGGUAGAAGCAGAGGGACCCCUGCUGGAGCUGACGGAGGGAGACUAGAGUUGCUACAAAUUUAGGAAGGUAGGGCAUCUUUCAAGACACUGUCCUGGAGAAGCCCAAGGAGAGUGGAUGUCCCCACCUGUGGGCGUGCAGGUGAACAACCCACUUGGAAGAGGUGGAUGAGGGGCCUAUCAAUCAUAGGAUGAGGUGGAAACAGAAGAAGAAACUAAUGAAAAAAAUGAUGAAGAACCAGAAGAAACCUGUCAAAUGCUAAAAAAGACCACCGUGUCAACCCAAAACCCACUUGAUAUUGAUAUUUUAGUUAAUAAACAUACAAUUACAUUUUUGGUGGACACUGGGGCUGCGGUCUCAUUGUUGAAAAUGUCUGCCCUGUCUGUAUCGCCCUCAAAGAAAACAAUGCACACAGUUGGAGUGUCUGGAAUUCCCUCUGAAGAAUCUUUGACCUUUCCACUGGACGUGGAGUGGGGAGAGGGCAAAUGGAGACACCGAUUCCUAUACUCAUCUGCCUGCCCAGUAAAUGUCUUACGAAGAGAUUUGAUGUGUAAAAUGAAUUCAUCUGUUGCCUGUACUGAAGAAGGAUUGUCAUUGGGAUCAAUAGAAAAUGGAAUCUUCCCGUGCCUGAUGAACUAUUACUAUGAAUAAUCAACAUGUUGGAGGGACAGCUAAGCUAGCAAUCCCUCUCUUCCCCGUUGCAUGCUAACUGGGAAUUAUCUGAACACCUACAUUGUACUGCUGCUGUUCCCUCACGCAAAGAGGACCCUGAAUACCAACAAAGAUGGUCAAAACAGAAAGUUGAGAUAACCAUGAAUGGGAUAUACAGAGGAGAAGACUUCGUAGCAGCUGGAGUGUUGUUGACGGACACUAACAUGAGUUUGUAUGACGUCCCUGGCUCUCUUCCCCAUUGUAGCUUAUCAAACGCUCCUGGAACACAAUGGAAAGAUGUGGGUGUUUGGAUGAAGAAAGCGAUGGAAGAAACUGAUUGGGUGGCCUGGGAAGGGGAAGGAAAGUGGUCAGCUUCAACAGCAACUUUCGCCAUACUGGGCUACUGCGAUGACAAUACCAAGAAAAUAAACAAUUCCCGUUGAAACCAUGCCUGCGGUAUUACAAGAUAAUUGACACAUUGAUUGGCUAAAGGAUAUACCUGAUGAACUGUGGGCUAAAUCAAAGACCGACGUUGGACGUAUGAAAGGAGCUGCACCAGUUGUGGACGUUCCAAAAAGCACCCACAGACCUUACAAAGCUCAGUACCCUGUUAGCAAGGAAGCCGAAAGGGUAUCAUUCCCAUUCAUAGUGUGUUAGUUGAAAGAGGCACUCUGGUUCCCUGCCCGAAUUCGCCAUGCAACACACCAAUUUUACCUGUUAGGAAACCAUCUGGUGAUUAUCGUUUUGGGCAAGACUUUAGGAUAGUAAACAAUGCUGUACAUGCAAGAGCACCUCUGGUGCCUAACACUGUUACCAUUUUAUCAUAACCAUCAGGGCAAUCUGUUCCUCUCUAGAGCAGAAAUGGUUACUAAUCGUACAUCUGGACAAAAAGAGUGUUGGGUGUGUGGGUUGGGGCCAGUUAAGGUAGGAGCAGGUUUACCACUUGUGGAAGUUCCCAUAUGGUAAAUCUAACUACACAAAUGCCACGUAACCCUGACCCCAUGACGUUUUCUGCAUUACACAACCACAUAGGCCCACCGUCAUUUGCUAGAUAAUACUUCACUCCCACCCAUCUCAGUAGCAGGGGUGAUGACAGCCCCUUGGUAUAUUAGAGGAGAAGGAGUUAAUCAUUUGGGUGAACGAGAAUGUAAUUGUACAAUGUAUUACAACGGGUCCAAUACCUGUAAGUUAACUGUUAACAACGCCGACACUGGGGAACCUGGUAAUGUUACUUAUGGUAUUUCAGUCUAUAGUGUUAUUAUCCCUUUAAGAGGAGCCCCAGAUGGCACCUAUUGGUUGUGUGGGGAAAUGGCUAACUAUAGCCUGCCCCUGAACUGGGGAGGUAGUUGUACUGUUGGGUUUGUAGUGACAGCUAUGAGAACCGUUCCAAACAAUGAUAAGAGUCUUAAGACUCUGUUUAGAGCCUACAAACCUCCUGGAAUGAGAAGAGAUAAGAGGUCUCUGGCUGACAUCACUCAGACUCAGGCACCUGCCUCCUGGUUCUUUGGUGUAUUUUUUCCAGGGUAUGGAGUCACAUGCGCACUAGACCAAAUUCGUGAUAUCUCUAAACACAUAGAAGAAAUUGGCAAUGCUACUCGAAAUGCCCUGAAACAAUUGAAUGACGAACUGAAAGAAUUGCGUAAAUUGGCUCUGCAAAACAGAGAGGGUCUUGACUAUCUUUUGGCAGGUCAAGGGUGCACUUGUGUAAGAAUUGGAGAUGAGUGUUGCACUUUUGUCCUGGAUCGGUACUCUGUUACCGAUCUUGCCGAAUACAUUGCCACUGUGGCUAAGAACAAUUCCCGACAGCCAGAGUGGACUCUUGCAACUUGAAAUCUCUGUUUGGAUGUUGGGGAUCCCAAAUUGCCAAAUGGGCUGCAGCGUUUGUUUUUUGCUUAGUCUAUCUAAUUGUAUUAAUAACAUGUUGUAAGGCUAUUUGUGCCUCCCUAGCUGAUAAGAUUUUGGCAGCCAUCAUGUUUAAUGAUCCUCAAGAGGAUGAUGAGACUGAUGAGCUGCCGACUCUGGAAGAGCUUCCUUUUCCCCCUUUAGAAAAGGACGAUGAGUGACAAUUGAAAGUUAUUUUUUGUUUGACAUGUUUAGAAGGCCCUAGAGGGUUUGUUUUAUGUUUUGACUAGUCUCUGGAACAGUUGGCGCAGAAAAAAAUGUCACUGCAACCCGAUUGUGAUAAGACCUACGUAAACAAUGGUUAUACAUUGAGAGAUUUAGUCACCUCUGAGUGUGUGUGUAUUUUAGAUUGUAAAACCCAGAGUGAAGGGUUUGAAAGGAUGAAGUGUCUGGUUUUCUGUGUUGAUUUUGCUUACGUUAACAUAACUAUUUUGAUUGAACCUCCUUUGAUAGAAGCUAUAAUCUAAUGCUUACCCUAAAAUGGUACGAUAAUUAUCAGAGUGCUAAGAGGGAAUGUGAGGGAAACUGUCCCGUUUGCGUAUCGAAUCAAUGCUACUUUUCUAAUAACCAAUUAGACGGCUUCGUGCAGGUGACUGACUGAUCGUGUAUGGAGGAAUCCUCACCAUCACUGAUAAGCAACAUGGCAGUGCGCCCAGAACAUUGCUAUGGAAACCGAGGUAUCUCAGUUUGUAGGUCUUGGAGAGAGGAAGCCAUGUGAGGUAUUGGUCAGUCAAAUGCAGGAGCCAACGUUAGUGAUGACUAAUGAAUCAUGUAAAUCAUGCAAAUAUGUCUGUGUAAGCAGUAUAUAAGAGAACUGAAGGGACCGCCCCCAGGGGUGUCCUGACAGACGUUCACUAUGGUGCAUCAAGUUCGUUGGAACCUCUCCAGUUAACUGUUAAUAAAGAGUGAUUCAUUUAACAUUGA